rnacentral:rRNA from 1 species
UACGAGGGGGGCGAGCGUUGUUCGGAAUUAUUGGGCGUAAAGGGUGCGUAGGCGGUUUGGUAAGUCUUUUGUGAAAUCUCUGGGCUCAACUCAGAGUCUGCAAGGGAAACUGCCGGGCUUGAGUGUGGGAGAGGUGAGUGGAAUUUCCGGUGUAGCGGUGAAAUGCGUAGAUAUCGGAAGGAACACCUGUGGCGAAAGCGGCUCACUGGACCACAACUGACGCUGAUGCACGAAAGCUAGGGGAGCAAACAGG